CACUGUUAUGGCCCUAGAGAGAAGGAAGAAAGUAGAUGCUGCUUCGGGAAGGAGAAGAUGACAUAUAGACAGAGAGGAGAACUGAGCCCGGUUCUAAAAAGCAGAAGAAUCUAGAGCAGAGGGGUUUUCCUGGGAAGAGACAGAGAAAAUGGUCUUCCUCCUACUGAAUCUGAUCACAUGACAUGGAAAUGUAUGACAUGAAGGAGUUGAAGAGGGUUUGCCUUCGACUUCACAGCCCUUAAGAGAUUGACUUGUCUUCCUAUGAAAUAGCUAUCAACUAAAUUGAGACCGUUGGGGGAGAGAGCAAGAUGGCAGCCGAGUAACAGCUUCCUUGCAUGUGGGCACCGUGAGUCUGGGGAGAUAGGACUCCAGGCAUCUCUGGCUGGUGGGAUCUGCCUAUAAUCAUCCCUGUGAGGAUACAGGGAGUCAGCGAAAGACUUCUGGACCCCAAGAGGAGGACUGAAACAGUGGAAAAACCGGCAAGUGGUCACAUGUGUUCAAUGGGUCUAAACCCGCCGGCAACUGUAAGUACAGUAACAGCAAGACUGCAAACCAGAAAGGCCUUACCUGUGAACUGUUUUGGUGUCUUUGGACUUGGCACUCAGUUGAACUGCCUUGGGGAGAGCCUGAGCGGGAGUGCAGAGAACUUUGGCCAUUGUCUAGGGCCCCAGUCUGAGCCACUGAGCCAGACGGAGCUAAUAGUGUUUGGCUGUGGGCCACAGGGAGCCAUUAUGAGUGAUCUGCCCCGGCAAGCUCCACCCUCAGGGUCGCAGAGCAAGAAUCAGGCAGGAGUUGGUAACCUAGCGACUGAGUAGCCUAAGGGCGGGGUCUGAGCCGCCUUACAGCCCUAACCCUCAGGGUCAGAGUGAGACCGGUUUUGGCACACUGGGUAAGUGAAUAGCCACUUCAGCAGGGAUUUCAGCGAUAAGCACUUUACUGGUAAAGCUUCUGCUCAGCAAGUUUACAAGUUCAAAGUGCCUUUUAAGAGGAAAAGAGAUUUAGGGUGUCUACCUGCUGGGGUUGGAGAAAUCUGCAGCCUCCAGUUGUAUAAGCACUGUGAUUAACAUCUCAUACCCCAGAAGACCCCGUGUUGCCCAGACAAUAUUCAACAAC